GGAUUAGAUACCCUGGUAGUCUACACUGUAAAUUUUGAGUGCUGUAAUUUAAUCUUUUAGAUUUUUAAGCUAACGCCAUAAGCACUCCGCCUGAGGAGUACGAUCGCAAGAUUAGAACUCAAAUGAAUUGACGGGGACCCGCACAAGUAUUGGAGCAUGUGGUUUAAUUCGAAGAUACGCGCAGAACCUUACCAACACUUGACAUGUUCGUCGCGACUCUAAGAGAUUAGAGUUUUCGGUUCGGCCGGACGAAACACAGGUGCUGCAUGGCUGUCGUCAGCUCGUGCCG
rnacentral:rRNA from 1 species